CUCCCUCGGCCACUCUCGUCGGGACGCCACUCCUGCAAGGUUGGAAAUCCUGAUGUCAUGUGGAUAGCUGGCUCACGCCGGCAACUCCACAAGCGACUUUGGAGGCUGCGUGCAUGCAGUCGCACCCUGUCGUGCAUCGGAGAGCAACCGGGUCCCCUGGCCUUGGCUAGGUGUGGAUCGGGGGCUUGUAUAUUCCAACACGCCCUUGAGCUUUAUGGCUUUGAAAGGAAGUGAAACCAUACAAGCUACAAUAGAUUCUUUCAUAUUCUCCACUUCACAAUGGAAUUGGUCUGGAAGCGCAGUAGUGUGGCCAACCCAAGUUUCACAAGCAUUGAUCGUGAAGUCGUAAUGGAUGUGAGGUAGUUCGGGCUUCCUGUUGUGCACAAGAUUGAUGGUAUUGUACAAGAUGAAAUGAACAACAGAGCUGUAGCUUGGUCUUCUUGUGAAGCAGAGAUGGAGGUAAAUGGAUCUGUCGAGUGGCAGCGGUUCUUUUAACCUAUUGCUGCUGGGCCAUACCUACAGCCAUCAUAACAAACCGACUUAUGACGUGCUAGAGCGAGUCGCGAGGAAAGUUUUACUACACGUAGUAAACUCCCAGGUCUAACGGCAGGAUGUUUACCAGAAGUUGCCAGAGAUUUCUGAUACUGUCAUUGAGGGGUUAAUACAGCCUGUGGACUAGCAAACUUCAAACGCUCUUAGGUGUGGGUACUGAAGAGCUCUUAGUUCUGGUUGAAAGCCACUGCAAGAGUUAUGGCUUUAUUGUUAACCUGGAGUAUGCAGCUGUCCUGGAACAAGUCUUGAAGGAGGAUGAUAAUGGAAUAAAUAAAUAAAUAAUACAU